GCCUGGCUGGCUCAGUCAGUACAGCAUGAGACUCUUGAUCUUGGGGUCGUGAGUUCAAGUCCCAUGUUGGGAG
rnacentral:tRNA from 1 species